rnacentral:rRNA from 1 species
GGUGUCGGCUUAAGUGCCAUAACGAGCGCAACCCUCGCCGCCAGUUACUAACAGUUAAAGCUGAGGACUCUGGCGGGACUGCCAUCGUAAGAUGUGAGGAAGGUGGGGAUGACGUCAAAUCAGCACGGCCCUUACGUCCG